rfam:Ixodes scapularis strain Wikel colony gcontig_1108379562445, whole genome shotgun sequence.
UAGCUCAGUUGGUAGAGCGCUCCACCUGUAAUGGAAAGGUCCCGGGUUCGACACCUGG